rnacentral:lncRNA from 1 species
AUUAUAAAUGUGAUUCAUUUCAUAUUUCUUGUAAUAUUCAUGCAAACAAUCUAAACUUUCAGGCAAAAAAUAUAUUUUCAACUACUUUCGACUCGACACUAUAAAAAACCCUUUGACAGUCAUUGCUAACCAACUAAUUUGAAGAGUACUAUUUCAUGCCAAAAAUGGGUAAUCACGGAUGACAACCAAAAAUAGCUACAUAAUACAAUCUAAUCAUAACAAGUCGACUUAAGAUUUUUUGUUUGAAUACUUUAAUAAGUUUUCUGAAGUGUGUUUCUCAAGUGUCGUAUUUAAUAAAUCAUGUUUCCAAGUGUUUUUAUACCAAGGUACGAGUUCCCUAAGGAAGUAUUAUGUCGUACUUUACGUACUCCGACUUCUACGUACGUCUGCUGUAUUUUGGUUCACAACAAGUUUUGUUUUGGAUUUAAAAACUUCUUUAAAAUGGCUCCAUAUAUGGGGUUCGGCAAAUCCUCAACAAAUCGAAACCGUUCUCAAUUUCCUGGACGAACAUAGAGAUUUAGCUCGCGGGAGAUUGAAUAGUUGAACCCAGCCAGGAAGAUAACCUGAGAGUCCAGCUGUAAAAGCUGCCUAAGUACCACCACCAUUGACACAAAAAUGCCGACUUUCACACCUUCCUCUCGACAUACACACUCUACAAGGAGACUGCCUACUACUAGGAGAUUACAGAGGAUCUGCCAGCACAGGUGUAAGAAGCAGAUUGUAUCAAUAUGAAGAGGAGCGUGCACAGAGAGAGACGGUGCAAAACGCAGAGCUUGCAGGCAUCAGGGGCGAAUUGGCAGGCAUCAGGGGCGAAUUGGCAGGCAUCAGUCCUACCCUGUUGCAGCUGCAUAACACAAUAAGGGAAUAUGUGGAUAGGAAUUAAGAUUUUGUUAGUGUUUUGUUAGUCAUUAAUUGUGUUUAAUAUUUCUUUGUUAUUAAUUUGUAAUGUUUAAACAGGGUAAUAGUAAAUAAAACUUUAAGUAUAUAA